rnacentral:rRNA from 1 species
UACGUAGGGGGCAAGCGUUGUCCGGAAUCAUUGGGCGUAAAGAGCGUGUAGGCGGCCCGGUAAGUCCGCUGUGAAAGUCCAGGGCUCAACCCUGGGAUGCCGGUGGAUACUGUCGGGCUCGAGUCCGGAAGAGGAGUGUGGAAUUCCUGGUGUAGCGGUGAAAUGCGCAGAUAUCAGGAGGAACACCAAUGGCGAAGGCAGCACUCUGGGACGUGACUGACGCUGAGACGCGAAAGCGUGGGGAGCAA